rnacentral:misc_RNA from 1 species
GAAAUGCGAUAAGUAAUGUGAAUUGCAGAAUUCAGUGAAUCAUCGAAUCUUUGAACGCACAUUGCGCCCGCCAGUAUUCUGGCGGGCAUGCCUGUCCGAGCGUCAUUUCAACCAUCAAGCCCCCGGGCUUGUGCUGGGGACCUGCGGCUGCCCGCAGGCCCUGAAAACCAGUGGCGGGCUCGCUGUCACACCGAGCGUAGUAGAUUUUAUCUCGCUCAGGGCGUGCUGCGGGUUCCGGCCGUUAAAAAGCCUUUUUUACCCAAGGUUGACCUCGGAUCAGGUAGGAAGACCCGCUGAACUUAAGC